UGCCUANACAUGCAAGUCGAACGGAAACGAUGGGAGCUUGCUCCCAGGCGUCGAGUGGCGGACGGGUGAGUAAUACUUAGGAAUCUGCCCAUUAGUGGGGGACAACUAGAAGAAAUUCUAGCUAAUACCGCAUACGCCCUACGGGGGAAAGCGGGGGAUCUUCGGACCUCGCGCUAAUGGAUGAGCCUAAGUCGGAUUAGCUUGUUGGUGAGGUAAUAGCUCACCAAGGCGACGAUCCGUAGCUGGUCUGAGAGGACGAUCAGCCACACUGGGACUGAGACACGGCCCAGACUCNUACGGGAGGCAGCAGUGGGGAAUAUUGGACAAUGGGCGCAAGCCUGAUCCAGCAAUGCCGCGUGUGUGAAGAAGGCCUGCGGGUUGUAAAGCACUUUCAGUAGAGAAGAAAAGCCUACGGUUAAUAACCGUGAGUCUUGACGUAACCUACAGAAGAAGCACCGGCUAACUCCGUGCCAGCAGCCGCGGUAAUACGGAGGGUGCAAGCGUUAAUCGGAAUUACUGGGCGUAAAGCGCGCGUAGGCGGCUUUGUAAGUCGGAUGUGAAAGCCCCGGGCUUAACCUGGGAAUUGCAUUCGAUACUGCAGAGCUAGAGU
rnacentral:rRNA from 1 species